rnacentral:rRNA from 1 species
AGAGUUUGAUCCUGGCUCAGGAUGAACGCUAGCGACAGGCCUAACACAUGCAAGUCGAGGGGCAGCAUUUUUGAAGCUUGCUUCAAAAGAUGGCGACCGGCGCACGGGUGAGUAACGCGUAUGGAACCAACCCGCAACAGGGGGAUAACCCGGAGAAAUCCGGACUAAUACCGCAUGGUACUCUUUGCACAGAAGUGUGAAGAUUUAAAGAUGCGAAUCGGUUGCGGACGGUCAUGCGUUCCAUUAGCUAGUUGGCGGGGUAACGGCCCACCAAGGCGACGAUGGAUAGGGGUUCUGAGAGGAAGGUCCCCCACACUGGUACUGAGACACGGACCAGACUCCUACGGGAGGCAGCAGUGAGGAAUAUUGGUCAAUGGGCGAGAGCCUGAACCAGCCAAGUCGCGUGAGGGAUGAAUGGUCUAUGGCCUGUAAACCUCUUUUGUCAAGGAAGAAUAAAUCGCACGGGUGCGAUCUUGCCAGUACUUGACGAAUAAGCAUCGGCUAACUCCGUGCCAGCAGCCGCGGUAAUACGGAGGAUGCGAGCGUUAUCCGGAUUUAUUGGGUUUAAAGGGUGCGUAGGCGGUUUAUUAAGUUAGUGGUUAAAUAUUUGAGCUAAACUCAAUUGUGCCAUUAAUACUGGUAAACUGGAGUACAGACGAGGUAGGCGGAAUAAGUUAAGUAGCGGUGAAAUGCAUAGAUAUAACUUAGAACUCCGAUAGCGAAGGCAGCUUACCAGACUGUAACUGACGCUGAUGCACGAGAGCGUGGGUAGCGAACAGGAUUAGAUACCCUGGUAGUCCACGCCGUAAACGAUGCUCACUGGAUCUUGGCGAUACACAGUCAGGGUUCAAGCGAAAGUAUUAAGUGAGCCACCUGGGGAGUACGUCGGCAACGAUGAAACUCAAAGGAAUUGACGGGGGCCCGCACAAGCGGAGGAACAUGUG